GCUCCAAUAGCGUAUAUUAAAGUUGUUGCAGUUAAAAAGCUCGUAGUUGGAUUUCAAGUGCCGAACAGCCGGUCCGCCACAAAUGUGGUGUGUACAGGUGUUUCGUUUCGGCCUUUCCUUCCGGAAGAACCUUCGUGCUAUUAAGUUAGUGGCUGGGGAUUCCGGAUCGUUUACUUUGAAGAAAUUAGAGUGUUUAAAGC
rnacentral:rRNA from 1 species